rnacentral:tRNA from 3 species
GCCCCCAUAGUGAAACGGAUAUCACGUUAGUCUUCGGAACUAAAAUUGGGAGUUCGAAUCUCUCUGGGGGCA